CCUACGGGCGGCAGCAGUGAGGAAUAUUGGUCAAUGGACGAGAGUCUGAACCAGCCAAGUAGCGUGAAGGAUGACUGCCCUAUGGGUUGUAAACUUCUUUUAUAUGGGAAUAAAACGUUCCACGUGUGGGAUUUUGUAUGUACCAUAUGAAUAAGGAUCGGCUAACUCCGUGCCAGCAGCCGCGGUAAUACGGAGGAUCCGAGCGUUAUCCGGAUUUAUUGGGUUUAAAGGGAGCGUAGGUGGAUUGUUAAGUCAGUUGUGAAAGUUUGCGGCUCAACCGUAAAAUUGCAGUUGAAACUGGCAGUCUUGAGUACAGUAGAGGUGGGCGGAAUGCGUGGUGUAGCGGUGAAAUGCUUAGAUAUCACGAAGAACUCCGAUUGUGAAGGCAGUUCACUGGACUGCAACUGACACUGAGGCUCGAAAGUGUGGGUAUCAAACAGGAUUAGAUACCCCAGUAGUC
rnacentral:rRNA from 1 species